UUUUGAUUCUUUUGGCUGCCUGUAGCCACUCAAGCAAGCCUUGUAGGAAGAAAAGUCAACUUCAAGUUGUCCAGUUACUAGAAGCAGGUUCCUACCUGAGCACUCCAGGAUGCUGGAGAUCAGACAAAUUCAGUCUAUAAAUGCAAUUCAAUUCUUCAGAGCCGUAACAGACCUGUACCUGCAACUUCACAUGUGCUGCUGACCAAUGGUAGCAUAAGGCCCUUUCCCCACGGAGCUAAUGGAUAACCCCAUGGACCAGGAGCUGCGGGCUAGAGCGAGACCUCCAAGUUGUGACACGCUGCUAACUUGUGGCAUGUGGGACACUACAGAGCAGCAGAGAAGGCCAGACAACUGGAGUUAUGCACACCUAGCAGGAAGACAGUCAAGAAUACUGCAGGUGUCUGCAAGCUACAUAUGGCAUUUUUGGUGGCUGCCCUUGGAUCUCAUGCAAGCCCAGCUUUUGGAACUAUCAGAGGAGUCUGACAGUUUAUUUUAUUGCUCCCAUACUAUUGAAAAGUGACUUGAAUUUAUAGUAUUUGCGAAUUUGUAUGCUGCCACUAAAAAUGUAAUGAAGGAAAGAGGAAGCAAUUCUUGGAUGGAAUUCUUGAUGGAAUCAGCUCCCCUGAAAUGUUUAAAAUACUCAAGGAAAAGACGGCGUCAUAUCCUGUGGCAGAAGAAGGAAAGGACUUGGAUUUCUUUACCAGGACUUUGAAACAUUUCUUUUUGACAGCGAUUGUCUGGGGUUGACUUUGUUGGAUGUCUUUGGUCCUGGUUUCCUACCUGUGUGGCAGGUGUAAGGCAUGCCAUUUUGUGUUGGCCUGUUGAGAUCCAUGAGAUUGCUCGCCCAGACCGAGUGAAACACCCUUGUAUGAGUGAUGAUGGGAACAGUCCCUUUCCUUGAAUUCCCCUGCAUUGUCAUUUUAAGAUAGGUGAAAGCUUUAGCUUUAACUGAAUGUCACAUCAAUUUUAUUAUGUCUGUAGGCGUCUUUGUUUUUAAAAUUCAUGACAAGUUCCUUGCAAUACAUUUUUACUGCAUUACAGCCACCUGUUCUACCUUGGUGGGUGGCUGUAAAUCUGGGGCUGUCCUUUUGCGUUGUGUACAUGAAUGAUUGUUUCUUUAUACAGCAUAUUAGGAGCUUCCAAAAUGUAUUCAUAGCUUGAACCAUCCUGGGGAGACACAUGGCCAUUUUGUGGAUCAGCUUUCCUCUUCUGCUACUGCAGAAGUGUUGCCUGGGGUCCCAAAGCAAAAUCUUCUUGUCCUUCCCAUGGGGCACCUUUUCUACCUAGGCCCAACACGUGGAAUUUACCCAUUUGUGGCCACACUAAGUCCCCUUGUACCGAGUGCUGCCAUUAAGAACGGUUUGCUCCUAGAUCAGCUUCAAAUAAAUCAUUCAGACUGAUUGAUGUGAACCUUGAC
rnacentral:lncRNA from 1 species